rnacentral:lncRNA from 1 species
CCCAGGAGGUCCUCCAAGAACUGCAGUCAGGUUUGAACCAGAUUCCUAUGGAGACUUUGCUUUUCCCUGGGACCCAGUGCACGUGAACGUCUGUGUGUGCCUUUUAAGAAUGGGGUCUCUGUUUCCCCCAGUCCCGUGAAGCUCCUGAACACAAGCCCCUCUGGCCUUCAAUGUCAGAUGCUCCAGGGACUCUUUCUCCCGGUGUCAGAUCCCCAUACAUGGGAGUUUGAUGUGUGGCUCAGAACUCUCACUCCUGUAGGUGAGUCUCUGUGAACCAGUUACUUUCCAGUCUGUGGGGCUUCCCACCCAGGAGGUGUGGGGUUGCUUAUAUCAUGUAACCACCCCUCCUACCUUUUGAUGUGGCCUUCUCUUUGUCUUCUGGAGUAGGAUAUCUUUUUAAAGGUUUCCUUGGUUAAAGAUUGCUCAGCCUUUAGUUGUGAAUUUUGUUGUUUUUAGGAGAGAAGUUGAGCUCCAGUCCUUCUAUUCUGCCAUCUUAAUCCCAUCUCUCGACUUUAGUGAAAGUAAACUUAGCAGGCAUUGGGUCGGCAGAGGGGAGAAUGGUCAGUGAGGAGGAAGUACGGAGCAUCCUGAAUUCAUAGGCCAGUAAGAGUGUGAUAAAAACUGGUAUAUAAACCCAGAUCCAACUAAUAAGGGCCAAGGAAAAUACACUCUGGGGAAAGCCAAGAAAGGUGAAAACCUGAUAAAUUCCACGUAAUCCACAGGGUAGAGUGGCAAACUAUUUGGUUGCUGAUUUCAAGCCUACAGACUAAUCAUAGAUAUAAUUAAAAAUUGGACUGGAAUUCCCAUUGUGGCCUCAUGGGUUAAGGACAUGACUAGUGUUCAAAAGGAUGCAGGUUUGAACCCUGGUCUUGCUCAGUGGGUUAAGUAUCCAGUUUUGCAUCUUGGUUCUGGUAUGGCUGUGGCUGUGGCAUAGGCCAGGAACUGCAGCUCUGAUUUAACCCCUAGCAUGGGAACUUCCAUAUGCAGCAUGUGUGGCCUUAAAAAACCAAAAAAAAAAAAAAAAAAAAAAAUGUGUAUAUGCAUAUAUAGAUGGCAAAUCACCAGAAGGUAAAAGCAAACAAAAUACAGAAAUCAAAGGAAACUUUAAGAAAGCAUUUAAAGUCUAAAACUAGGUGACAGCCAAGCCCCAGUUAUGAUAAUAAAUGCAAUUCAAUAAGCAUAUCUAAUUUAUUAAAGGAAAGACAUACUUUUUUUUUCCCUAAAAGAAAAAAAAA